rnacentral:rRNA from 1 species
AUUGAACGCUGGCGGCAGGCCUAACACAUGCAAGUCGAACGAGUGGAGGACGGGUGAGGAAUACAUCGGAAUCUACUCUGUCGUGGGGGAUAAGGUAGGGAAAAUUACGCUAAUACCGCAUACGAUUGAAUGAGCCGAGGUCGGAUUAGCUAGUUGGCGGGGUAAAGGCCCACCAAGGCGACGAUCCGUAGCUGGGCUGCGAGGAUGAUCAGCCAACCUGGAACUGAGACACGGUCCAGACUCCUCCGGGAGGCAGCAGUGGGGAAUAUUGGACAAUGGGCGCAAGCCUGAUCCAGCCAGACCGCGUGGGUGAAGAAGGCCUUCGGGGUGUAAAGCCCUUUUGUUGGGAAAGCGGUACCCAAAGAAUAAGCACCGGCUAACUUCGUGCCAGCCGCCGCGGUAAUAC